UUCCAGACUCCUACGGGAGGCAGCAGUGAGGAAUAUUGGUCAAUGGUCGGGAGACUGAACCAGCCAAGCCGCGUGAGGGAUGAAGGUACAGAGUAUCGUAAACCUCUUUUGUCAGGGAACAAAGGCGGGGACGUGUCCCCGGAUGAGUGUACCUGAAGAAAAAGCAUCGGCUAACUCCGUGCCAGCAGCCGCGGUAAUACGGAGGAUGCGAGCGUUAUCCGGAUUUAUUGGGUUUAAAGGGUGCGCAGGCGGAGGUGCAAGUCAGCGGUCAAAUUGCGGGGCUCAACCCCGUACUGCCGUUGAAACUGCAUCCCUUGAGUGCGCGAGAAGUAUGCGGAAUGCGUGGUGUAGCGGUGAAAUGCUUAGAUAUCACGAAGAACCCCGAUUGCGAAGGCAGCCUGCCGCAGCGUUACUGACGCUGAAGCUCGAAAGCGCGGGUAUCGAACAGGAUUAGAUACCCCGGUA
rnacentral:rRNA from 1 species